CUACGGGACGCUCCAGUGGGGAAUAUUGGACAAUGGGGGAAACCCUGAUGCAGCAACGCCGCGUGGAGGAUGACGCAUUUCGGUGUGUAAACUCCUUUUAUAUGUCAAGAAAAUGACGGUAGCAUAUGAAUAAGCACCGGCUAACUCCGUGCCAGCAGCCGCGGUAAUACGGAGGGUGCAAGCGUUACUCGGAAUCACUGGGCGUAAAGGACGCGUAGGCGGGUUGGAAAGUCAGGUGUGAAAUCCUACAGCUUAACUGUAGAACUGCACUUGAAACUUCUAAUCUAGAGUAUGGGAGGGGGAGAUGGAAUUAGUGGUGUAGGGGUAAAAUCCGUAGAUAUCACUAGGAAUACCUAAAGCGAAGGCGAUCUCCUGGAACAUUACUGACGCUAAGGCGUGAAAGCGUGGGGAGCAAACAGGAUUAGAUACCCUCGUAGUC
rnacentral:rRNA from 1 species